rnacentral:lncRNA from 1 species
CUCCGAAAUUAACUUCCAGUAGAUUUGGAGUGGGGGGGAGUGGGUGGAAAGGAAGAGAGAUGCUUCUCUUUUCCCAAGUGCUAUUUAAAACAAUAAAUUGCACUCUCUUGGAAGCAGAACUGGAUCUAAUGUCUGAAGACAUAGCAGCGAUGGCAGUGCGUGCAAGAUUAAUUAUCCUUUAAUAUGUAAGACUUGCAUACCUAACCUUUUGCCCUUAGUGCUAUCAGUUUCUCUGAAGGAUAGUAUCUCUGAAGUCCUCGUCUAGGCUUAGCUGUAGAAAAAUGAAACGGCAGUGUGGUGCAUAUUUAAACAUGACAUAGCAGGCGAGGAAAGAAAGUGAUCUGUCUUUUGAUUGAAGAUGAAAUAGCUCCUAAACAAACAAGUGGAAAAUUGGGUCAGCUAUCUCCAAAUACAAAAUAUUUUGAAAAAUUGAGACAAAAGCAUUAGGCUCAUGUUUGAAUAUGGCUACUCAAAGUAAUCAUCUUUAAACUGUCACUAGGGGGACUUUGAAGAUACCUGACUUUUCAGACGGCUUAUCUGUGUGUUUCCCUGAAGUCUGCCUUGCAGGACUGAGGACAAGGGUUUUGCACAUUCCUCUCAGGCUGUAAUGAGAUGCCUGCUGCACUGUGCCCCUCCCUUUGUUCUGCUGGGUGGAUGGAAGUGAAGUGUGCACUUUAAAACAAGUGGAUUUUAGGCUUCUCAGCCUAGCUCGAAGUCGGUUCAUGAGCAAGAAUCCAAGCAAGACUUCUGUUGUCAUCUGCUCGGUGUUGUUCUGCUGCUCUCUUCAGGAGGCAGAUGGAAUAGGAUCCUGCUCUUCUAGGAUUUGGUUUGAUCUCGAGUCCCCUGUGGGAACCUUUAUCAGCUCAGUGAACUGCUGCACACAUUUCAUUAAUGCAUAAAUCAGCACGCUGAGAGCACCUCAUUGAUCAAGAUGCCUCGUUAUCUAUGGUACCCUUGCUGUGAUGCUCUGGGGGAUAGGGGGACUUUAUACCGUGAGUAUAUACAAUAUUAUUUCAUUUUCUUUUUUUCUCAUUGCAUGUGUGCAAAUGUCAUUAUAACUUAGUGUUUUUGUACUGUAAUCUAUUAUCUCCCUUCUUCCCAGUACAGUAAUAUAUUUUACAUUCUCAUCCUCAUCUUUUAGGCUGUGUGGAGACCUAAGAUUUAGUUCUGGGCUGUUAUUCUCAGAACAAAUGAGCAGUGUGCUAGUAACAAUGGGUGUUCUACAGUAAACCUGCAGAGCCUGGCAUUGCAUAUUAUAUGUGGAGUGGUCAGAGAUACAGCACAGAGUCUUCAGAAGCCAAGUCUAUAUUUAUGGCUCCCAGGUAAAGGGGCAAAAAAAUAAAUUAAAACAAACAAAAAAACA